rnacentral:rRNA from 1 species
AAUAUUUGUCAAGGGAUGCAAUGCUGAACCAGCCAUGCCGCGAGCAGGAUUACGGAACUAUGGAUUGUAAAAUGCUUUUGUACAGGAAAAAAAGGAGCUACGUGUAGCGUAUUGACUGUACUAUAAGAAUAAGGAUCGGCUAACUCCGUGCCCACAGCCGCGGUAAUCCGGAGGAUCCAAGCGUUAUCCGGAAUCAUUGGGUUUAAAGGGUCCGUAGGCGGCCUUAUAAGUCAGCGGUGAAAGUUUUUGGCUUAACCUAAAAAUUGCCGUUGAUACUGUAGGGCUUGAAUUUUUGUGAAGUAACUAGAAUAUGUAGUGUAGCGGUGAAAUGCUUAGAUAUUACAUGGAAUACCAAUUGCGAAGGCAGGUUACUAACAAACGAUUGACGCUGAUGGACGAAAGCGUGGGUAGCGAACAG